CAAAGCCUGGAGUAAAAUAAAAGACAAUAUUUAGUUUAAAAGAGAAAAAAAGAAACUUACAGUGAGUUUCUUUUCUCAGAAUACAACCUUGGAGAAGAACAGAACAACAUUGCAAGAGGAAACCCAAAUUCUGCGGAAACAUGAGCUAUUGUUGUUAUUCUCCAAGGAAACUGUUCCUGGCUUAAUGUGGAAUUGAACCCCAGAAUGCAGAACAGCUCUGAGUCUCAGUCAUAGACACCCAGGAGGACUCUCACUGCUGGUCAGACAAGUGCCUGGACUUUGGGUCGCCAUUCCUCUCUCUUUUGACACCACUGCCUGUUUCACCAAGUUCCCCCCAUGGCAUAUGACAGCAUGAUGCCCCAAGGGAGAAAAGCUGUCAAGAAGGGCCCUGAGUCUUUGGCAUUGGGCUAGAAGGUGGCGCUCUCCUAGCAUAUGACUCAGGCUACAAGGGGAUGCUUGCCUGCUGAGCACUGUCAGUUUCCUUGCUUAGAAAAUGGAAAUAAGAAGAAUCCUGUCCAUCUCAGAGGACUUUAUGGGAAUCAGAUGAGAAAAGAGGUUCUGGGGAAAACUUCGAUUUGCUAUUUAGAUCCUUGAGUCCAAGACUCUCAGCCACUGCUUUGACCUCCUACCUCUCCGGCAUGCUAUCUCUUCACUUCACCCACCCUGGUAGCCUCUCCAGCAAUAACAGAGCAGCUCACAGCAUGGGCUCUGGAGUCAGGCUGCUGGGUGUUUCCCACUGGCUCUAAUCUUACCAGCUGUGUGACCUUAGGCAUGUUAACUCACCUCUCUGAUCUUCAGUUGUCUCAUCUGAAAGUGGGGAUAAAACAGAACCUACCUCAAGGGUUGCUGUGAGAUAAUGUAUGAAAUGCACCUGGCACAGCACCUACAAUACAUUCAUUCCUGCUGCUAUUAGUGUUACUUCUUUGAAGAUCCACAGCCUGUUAUCACUAAUAGGAUCAGUGGGAGACUGAAUAUAACUAAUGUGACUAGUAGGCGUCCUGAACACUGGCAGCUCUCUUGAGGUGUGGUCCACAGAACUUUGGCAGUCCUCCAGAUCCUUUCAAGAGGUCCACAAUGCCAAAAUUAUUUUCAGAGUCAUACUACUUGGCGUUUUUCACUGUGUUGACAUUUGCACUGAUGGUGCAAAAGCAAUGAUGUGCAACUGUGCAAGUGGUCAUUGUAUUCUUUACCACUAUGCAUGCCCAGAGAUGGGGGGAAACCCAGUUUCACUUAACAAUGUCUUUUAUUAAGCAGUAAAUAUUGUUAUUUUUAUUAAAUUUUGACCCCAUUUUUACUUGAAAGAAUGACUAACAGACAAACUAUGAUUAUUCAGAUGUGGGCAUGUAGCAGACAUUUCCACAGAAAUGAAUGAGGUAAGCCUGUCGCUUCAAGAAAAAUCACUACC
rnacentral:lncRNA from 1 species